AAAUUUUAUACAGUGAAAAAAGCUCUGGAGAUGGACGGGGGUGACGGCUGCUUGGCCCUGGGUGCACUUGAUGUCAUCCAACCUUAUGCCUGAAAAUGGCUCAGAUGUUACAAUUCAUGAUGGGUGUAUUUUACCGCAAUAACACUAACCAAAAGAAGGCGAAAGCUGGAGGAGCUACUCACCCGGGGACACACAGCCACUGGGAAGUGAAGCAUCAGUGAGAGCCAAUGCAGGGUGAAUGCCACGGUGACACUUUUCCCUGGACUUUCCCAUGAGCCGCUGCAGUGAGAUCAGGAGAAAGACGCUGGCAGGCCUACCAGCCAGUGGCCAGGACAGCAUAGCCGGCCUGGGACGGAGCUCUGGGGGCCCACCUCUCCCCUCCGACAUGGAACAGGUCGCAGCCUGAGUCCUUGCCACGCUGCAGGACAGAGAUUGGAAGGCAAGCACCUCAAGGGGUGGGUGUGAAGACGAGAUGAGCUCAUGUUCCAGCUCAUGGCCCAGCACGGUUCUGGGCCGCCGGGCAGAGUUAAAUAGAUACACAAAUGAUGCAAGAUCAGUGCCACCAGGUGGGUCCUGGGAGAAGAGUUUGCUCUGUCCACCGUGGGAGUGACUGCAACGUCUCAGGAUGGCUCUCGAAGAAAAGAAACUGAGAUUCAGAGGUAAAGAGACGUGUUCAAGAUCAUCCAACCAGUACACAGAAGAGAUCCAAUCCUGCUGCUCUACCUGCAUCCACUCCUGGCACUCAUGCACACAUAACUGGGUGCCUAGUGUGUCCCCCACUUGAUUCUGGCAAGGACUGGCUUCCAAGCUUUUUGGUUACCUUCUCUUCUGUGACAAACACUGGAGCUCUAUUUCCCACCCCCUCUUCCAGGCACGCCUCUGCCAUAGGAGUGAGAAAGCUACACCCUCCACUGCGCAGACUCUCUACUAGAUGUGAGCUCUGGAGCUGCAGCAGCCAUCUUGUGACCAGGAGACCUCAAACAUAAGGAUGAAAACCAAUAAGCUAAGCAUGUCCAAGAAGACAGGUUGGAAUUCCGGGUUCCCCGUGGCAUUAUUGAGGUUGGAACUACUGCUUAAUCUCCCUACCCACCCACCCCAACCCCUAUUUGUUUAGGGGCUAAGUUCAAGCCAGUGGUUCUCAAAGUGUGGUACUUCCUUGAACAGCAUCAUCAGGAUCACAAAGGAAUUUGUCAGGAAAGCACAUUCUUGCCCUUCCCCCCUAACGCCCAGAUCUGCUCAGUCAAAAACUCUGAAUGAUCUGGGUUUCUAACAAACCAUCUGAGUGACUUUGAUAUUUAGGAACCACUGGCCAAGAGCCUUGUUCAUUCAGAACCCGUUUACUCGAAUCUGAGUGCAAGCCUCCUUGAUACCACACCUCUGAGCUUUGGCUCAAAGUCUUUUCUCUGCCUAGAAUGCCCAGUUUCCUCUUUCCUCCCUCUCUGCCAGUCUUUUUUAUGAAGUGAAUUAAUUUUAAUCAUAGAAACCCAGAAUGGCAGAAAAUUCUGCUGUUGCAGUUUGGCAAGGUACAUGACUAGUUUUUGGAUUAGGUCUCGACCGUCUCGGAGGGCUGGAGAAAAGCAGAAAGCUAUAAAAUUGUUCCAUUAAAAAAAAAAACAUGUCCGGUUCCAGCUGGAAAACCCAGAAUCGGUGUUUUAUUGUUUCUCUCUCUCUCUCUCUCUCUCUCUUUCUAUAUUAGGCCAGAAGGAGUGAUCGGCAAGCCCCAGUAUCCUGACUUUCAGCGAUCAAGGACCCUGAGGUCCCCCUCCUGACAGGGCCACAGUCGGAGCCCGGAGCUUGUCCACUGUGGCCGCCAGCAUGUGGGGGCAGAUGUUGUCGUUAGACUCUGCUGCAUGACAGACCACACCAGAUCUUGGUAGCUUAGACUGACUAUUUUUUUUCCCCCAGAUUCUGUAACUGACUGGGUAACACCACUGCUGGCUGUGUCUGUGGUCAGCGGAAGGCCACCUGGGGCCUGGGCCCUGCCAGGAUGGUGGCAACACCACUUCCUCCUCCCUCUACAUGGUCUUUCAGCUCAGAUAUCUUUAAGGCCUGGUGGGUAUAGGGCACAGUCCCAAGAGGGCCAAGACAGAAACCCAAAGGCCUGAGAUCCUAUGCCUGUGCUUCUGGCAGAUUCUGUUGGUGGUAGCAAGUCCCAAGGUCAGUUAUGUGCAGGAGGGUGGAUUACCAGUCUCUAUCCCUGCUGGGAGUCCAUAUCCCUACUGGGAGACGGAGCCGUCAUGCAGAGGGGUGGGUACCCUGGCCUGGGAGGAAUUUGCAUCCUCUAUAAAGAAUGUCCACAUCUGUCUUCCAGCCACAAUUGAUUCACUUUCCUUCCUCAGCAGGUCCUGUGUGGCCUGCUCCCAAGACCCUCAGGGUUUCCUCCAAGGGCAGCAUUGGGUUCAGCAUCUGGAGUCUUGUGGUCUAGGUCAGGUCCGGAUGUGGCUGGUGUUCCUCUUCACGCCGGGCAACUGAUCUACCCUCACACACCGGGAAGGAAGUCCAUUGGCAGUCUCCUCCACAUUUGGCUUGAAAAACUCUCUAGCCAGACCUGUGAGUUCAUUUGGUGCAUGUUCCAUAAUCCAAGUAUCCGCAGGUAACAGUCUUGCCAAUAGUUCUGCCACAGUGCAGCACGUCCCCCUUCCCCAGGCUCCAAGAGCAAUUUCCUCCCCGUGGUUCCAGCUCCCACCGAUCAUUCCGUGACUGUCCUUCCAGCCUCUGCCCAUCUCCGGGGCCCCUGGACCCGUGCACAUGAAUUAGCUCUGGGUUUUGGAAACAGCCCAGGCACUGGUAUUGAUUUCUAUAACUGGUAUCAGCUUAUCAGCAUAAAAAAAUGUGGCCCGCAACUUAGCGAUUUAAAACAAAGAUCUAGGCUAAUUCCUGACUGUCUGAGGGGACUCUCUGCCGUGUCUGCUGGGCUCAGGCACACAGCUGCGGUCCACUACCAGCUCAACGGGGUCGAAAGGGCCUGGGCGCUCACUCCCGCUCUGGCCCUGGUGACGGCUGUGGGCUGAGCGCCGCGGCCCUCGGCGCGGUCUCUAAUCCUUCAGGAGGCCAGCCCAGGCUUCUGGACAAGGUGGGCUCAGGACAGAGUCCCAGGAGGGCAAAGGCAGAAGCCAAAAGUCCUCUCGAUGCCUGAGCUCCGAAACUCACGUGACCUCACUCCAGCCAGACUCCGUUGUCUCAAGGCCAGCCUCGAUUCAAGGGGACAGAGAAACGGGCUCUCCCUCUGGCUGGGACUCAGCGAGGUCAUACUGCAGAGGGGCGGACACACUAGGAUGGGAAGAAUUCGUGGCCCUUAAACAAGCUACCACAGGACUUCGUUUCUGUGGGCGCUCACGUUGCUUCGAUGCCACAGAUGGCUUCGUGUCUCCUCGGAGACCUCAUUACUGCAAGCCCGUGCUUGGCUCCUAUUUUUCUGUCAGGAAUUGUUUAGUUGCGAAGAGUGGAAAUCACUCAAAAUAGCUCAAGGGAGGCCGGGGCGAUACAGAUAUCAUGGAAAUGACAGAGGGUUGGGCCAUAAAACCUAGAGCAGGCAGGGAGAGAAAGGGAUCAUUCUCUCAUGUACUUUAUUUCUCUCUUUUUUCCCCAGGGUCUUCCUCCUUCUCCUGCUCCUCCUCCUCCUUCUCCUUCUGCUUCAGGUCUACUUACUUACUCUGCAUCCUUGUGGCUUCUUUCCUCCCCUAUAAUUUUGGUCCCAGACAUGGAAGCAAGAGUCCGCCCAUCUGCGGGGAGAAGAGGCACGAAAGAGAAACUUCCCGACUUUGCAUCAUGUGGGGUACAAACCGGCUCCGAUUCCACAGGCCCCUACAGACCCAGAGCCCAGCACUUGUUAACUGGAGAUUUCAUGUCUCUUGGCUCCUAUUUUUAUGAAAGAAAAAAAUGGGUCUCUGGCCCCAAAGCGAGCUGACUGCCCGGGAUUAGCUCUCCGGUCUUCGUUCCGUCCAUUACAGAUGUCAGUAAAGACAUAAUACAGACAUGGCUCCCCAGACGCACCCACACUGUCGAGCAGGGGCUGCUGGAAAUCAGUCUCGACUUAUUUCCCUGGGACCCGGGAGAACCCUCCAAGCUGUCUCCUGGAGACCUAAGUAAGGGGCCCUCAAGGAGACACAACUUGCCCUGUCAGCCCACUCCUCCUCCCCAUGAGGACCUUUUCCUCCAGGUCACCUCAGAAAUGGCUGUUUUGCUCCUGGAAGGACAAACCAUCGCUUCCUCCCGUCAGAGGCGCUCUCCAGCCAACAUGGAAAAGAUCCUCCCUUUCGUGAACCGCAUGACCAUCAGCCUCCAUGUCUCUUCAGCAGGGUGGGUGUAGGGUCCCCACCUUACCCAGGGGUGGAGGGUCAAGGGCAGCAAAUGCCUAAUAUAGGUCAUGGUACUGGAAAAACUAAGAAAGAAAUAGCAAUAUAAUAAGGCUAAUAAUGAAUAACAUAUAUGAAUAGUAACUAAACUCCCUUGGCCUGAGUUUUGAGAGCUUGGGGAGAGGAGUAGGAUCCCCUCAGUCCUGGGGACACGAUAAAGGGUAUCAGGUAUG